CAUUUUGCAGAAAAUUCCAAAAUCUCUUCUUUUUUUUAGGGUUUUAAAACCCCCCCAUUUUCGCCUCUUCCAUGGCCAAACAUGGAUUCCCCGGCGAUCCUCCAUGCCCAUGCCACUAAUCGGUGACCGGUACUACACGAGGUGGGCUCCUUUUGGUCCUCCUCCGAACGGAGGUCGAAGACGGAGCCUUCGCGGCCCACCACGACGGAAGAGACGAGGAAAGGCCCCGGGAGGUUCGUCGGAGCACCUCAAACAGUGAAUCGGAGGUGUCAAAGGCUGACGGUUGGUUGGUGAGAAGGCGAGGCAGCGCGUGUGGAGGAGGCCGAACGGCGCCUAGGGUUUCCCUCUUCUCCUUUGGCUGAAAAAUGUUUAGGAUAGUUGGGCUAGUUGGGCUUCAGGGUUUUCUUUUAAUUGGGUAUU